rfam:Rattus norvegicus chromosome 5, whole genome shotgun sequence.
GGGGAUUUAGCUCAGCGGUAGAGCGCUUGCCUAGCAAGCGCAAGGCCCUGGGUUCAAUCCCCAGCUCCG